rnacentral:lncRNA from 10 species
AUUUUCAUCGGGAACUCCAUUGCAUUAAUUUCUACCCUACUAAAAAAGAAACCCCUUUUAAAGUUAGGUGAAGGGUAUUUUUUCCCAUUCUUUUAAUACUUCUUACUAACGGACAUAAAAGUAGGUUAUGUCCUACUUCUAGAAGAGGGCCUGUGUGAGACAAGGAACACAUGAAAGGGAGUUGUCACUUAAAAAAAAUUAUUCUCUAUUUUCUGAAGUCAUCUAUAUACAUUAUUUUGUUUCCUUUGGAGUAGAGAAACGUGAAUUCAUGAUGAAAUCUAAAGCCUAGAGGAAAGGUAAUGACAAAUUAAAAGGAAAAACAAGCUAUUCAAAAAAAUAAACAGAGCAAACAACGGUGGGUUUAGAAGUGAGGUCAAAAGAGGAGAAUAUGAAACAUCUCUUGAUAAUAGUCUUUUAAUUUCCAAAUUAAGGUCUAAAUUUUUCAAACGUGCUUUGUGAAUUUUCAUUGAUAGGUUGAAGAGAAAAGGACCAGAAAUAUCAGCAAAUCAUUCUUGUGUCAUAAUUUUUCUCAUUUUUUUGAGUAAGGCAAGAUUUUUCUUCCACCUUCACAACACUGCCAAAUACAUCUUAUUUAGAUUUUCUAAAGCAGGAGUUUAGACUGAUGUUUGCAUGACUGAAGCCUGGCAUGGAAUCAUCACAGAGGUUACAAGAAUGUUAAUUGCAUCUAUUAACCCCAACUGCCUCUCAGGCAUUACUUUCUUAAUUCUUCCAAAAAAUUCUUUAAGGCAUGUACUUUACAAAUAAGAAUGGUGAGCCUUAAACAAUGCUAAAAGUGGAACUAGAGAUGGAAGCAGAGGUCUGCCGGUCUCUAAAGCUAAAGUACCAAAUAACUCCCAUGUUGAAGUCAACAAGCUGAUAGAGAUAGAAGGAUGGAGAAAAGGAUGGAAGAAGUAUGGUUUAAAAUAAGGCUCUUUCUCAGAGGUGUGAGUGAAUGGGCUUGAGAGUUAAAACUGGAAGUAGUUGUUAGGGUGGGAAUCAAAGUAAAACUUGGGUUCAGAUUUAAUUUAAGGCUGGCAUUAGAAUUACGAUUUUAUUGAAGGUUUGGGGUAGGGAUCACCUCUAUAUUUGCGAUUAAAAUAGAGGUUCAUUCAGAGUGGAGUCUGCAUUAAGUACUGAGAGGGGUUGGAGUAAGGCAGUUGUAUUAGUCCAUUCUUACACUGCUCAUAAGGAUAUACCUGAGACUACUGGGUAAUUUAUAAAGAAAGAGAGGUUUGGCCGGGCGCGGUGGCUCACGCCUGUAAUUCCAGCACUUCGGGAGGCCAAGGCCGGCGGAUCACGAGGUCGGGAGAUCGAGAUCAUCCUGGCUAACACGGUGGAACCCCGUCUCUACUAAAAAAUACGAAAAAUUAGCCGGGCGUGGUGGCGGGCGCCUGUAGUCCCAGCUACUCGGGAGGCUGAAGCAGGAGAAUGGCGUGAACCCGGGAGGCAGAGCUUGCAGUGAGCCGAGAUGGCGCCACUGCUCUCCAGCCUAGGGGGACAGAGAGAGACUCGUCUCAAAAAAAAAAAAAAAAAAAAAAAAAGAGAGAGAGAGGUUUAAUGGACUCACAGUUCCACGUGGUUUGGGAGGCCUCACAAUCAUGGCGGAAGGCAGAAGGCAGAAGGCAGAAGUCUUACGUGGCAGCAGGCAAGAGAGAAAAUGAGAACCAAGAGAGGGGGGUUUCCCCUUAUCAAACCAUCAGCUCUCAUAAGACUUAUUCACUACCAUAAGAACAGUACGGGGGAACCACCCCCAUGAUUCAAUUACCUCUCAUCGGGUCCCUCCCACAGCACAUGGGAAUUAUGGGAGAGAGUUGGGUGGGGACACAGCCAAACCAUAUCAGCAGUGUUAACUAAACUUCCCUGAGGAUAAGAAUCACCCGGGCAACUGCUAAAACAACACAUACUUCGUCCUUCUCAGACCUGCUGAAUCUGCUGUCUUCCAGGGAAAAUGAUACCAUUCACAGUUGUGCUAAGUGUCUGAGGAGUUUUGUCUGCGGCUCGUCCUGCUACAAUAAGAAUUCUUGCAGCUGCCAUCUGGAGUUCUGGGAACACUCACGGCCUUGAGCUGCCAGUUGGAAGUCCAACUACCCUGAGAUCACCCUGCUCAAGAAACACAUGAAGAGUCCCUGAAAUUGCGUGAAGAAUGAGAUGCCUGGCCACCUCCCAGAGCACCUUCUAGAAGAGUGAGUUCCCAUCAGUUUGUCGUCUCUGUUCAGAGAAUAUUCCCAUGCCCUACUCAGGACACUCAACUUGAAGCCUAUCAAGAAAAUCGGAGCUUUGCUAAGAGCAGACUGUCUACGGAAACUCUUAUUUUCUGGCAUUGACAGUAGAAUUCUCUUUUGCGUGUGCUAAAAACUGUGAUUAUGCGGCGUUGACAAUGCACCUGACAGUUGGAUAUCACCUUAUUUUAAAGCCCGCAGGCCCCUGAGUCUUCAGUUCACUCAUGUACUAUCAAAGACAUGUGAAAAGGCAAAGAGUGAUCAAAGAACAGAGAUCAAAGUUGGGGCAUUAAAAGUUAUAUUAUUAUUUUCAUCGGUUAAACUCUAUUCCUUCUUUGUAUGAAUGAAAGGGAGAUCUGUGAUUGGAUUUCCACUGAUUGCCACCCGCUAAUCCGUGUCACACGGACAACAUCAGCUGCAGCAGCUGAGGGUUGUUGGUGUAGAUCUGAGCUGAGACUCAGCACGUUGAGAGGAUGGGAGAAAUUCAGCAGCUGCCAAAGGAGGGGCUGAGAAGGAGAAACGUUUCCAUCAGGCUAAUGAAACCUGUCAGCAACAGCAGGGGAUCCAGAGCCCGUCCUCCCAGAAUGCAAGAGGAGCGGAAGAGCAGCCAAGAAGAAAGGAGGGAGGAGGGGAGGAGGAAGAAACAAAGAAUUCAUAAUUAUACCAAUUAUAGCAGGAGUAGGAGGAGUUUGGCAGGAGGGGUGGUCAUGAAACAAAAGAAAACAAUUAAAGUAUGGUUCAACAAUUGGCAAAGUGCUGACUUUGUUCUCUGAACAUUUCUCCUAGGGAGCAGCUUCUGCUGGGGCGGUGGUAGAGGUCGAUGUGCCUAAGCCUUAGGGUCCCUCUUCACCCUGGGAGGAGCACUGGCAAUGGGUUCAGAUGGUCUGAAGUGUUUACAAAUUCUGCGGAAGGAAAAUAUCAUAACUGCCGUCAGUUAAGCCUACUGUGUCUUUCCACCUCGGCUUCCCUCAUGGAGAGUUUUGGGGUUAGCUAAAGGGAAGCUGAGUUAGGAAGGCACCAUAUUAACUGCAUUUUACAAAGAUGUUUUGGGACAUUUCAAUAAAAGCACAUGAGAAACCAUAAAGUCCUAUUUUUUUUUCUUUUCUUUUGAUACAGAGUCUCGCUCUGUCGCCCAGGCUGGAGUGGAGUGGCGCAAUCUUGGCUCACUGCAACCUCCACCUCCUGCUUCAGCCUCCCAAGUAGCUGGGAUUACAGGUGCCCGCCACCACGCCCAGCUAAUUUUUUGUAUUUUUAGUACAGACAGGGUUUCACCACGUUGGUCAGGCUGUCUCAAACUCCAUCC